AUUGAACGCUGGCGGCAUGCUUUACACAUGCAAGUCGGACGGCAGCGGGGGUGCUUGCACCUGCCGGCGAGUGGCGAACGGGUGAGUAACAUAUUGGAAUGUACCGAGUAGUGGGGGAUAACCAAUCGAAAGAUUGGCUAAUACCGCAUACGUCCUGAGGGGGAAAGCAGGGGAUCUUCGGACCUUGCGCUAUUUGAGCAGCCAAUAUCUGAUUAGCUAGUUGGUGGGGUAAAGGCCCACCAAGGCGACGAUCAGUAGCGGGUCUGAGAGGAUGAUCCGCCACACUGGGACUGAGACACGGCCCAGACUCCUACGGGAGGCAGCAGUGGGGAAUUUUGGACAAUGGGGGCAACCCUGAUCCAGCCAUGCCGCGUGUCUGAAGAAGGCCUUCGGGUUGUAAAGGACUUUUGUUAGGGAAGAAAAGGGAAGUGCUAAUACCACUUUUUGUUGACGGUACCUAAAGAAUAAGCACCGGCUAACUACGUGCCAGCAGCCGCGGUAAUACGUAGGGUGCGAGCGUUAAUCGGAAUUACUGGGCGUAAAGCGAGCGCAGACGGUUACUUAAGCAGGAUGUGAAAUCCCCGGGCUCAACCUGGGAACUGCGUUCUGAACUGGGUAGCUAGAGUAUGUCAGAGGGGGGUAGAAUUCCACGUGUAGCAGUGAAAUGCGUAGAGAUGUGGAGGAAUACCGACGGGCGAAAGGCAGCCCCCCUGGGGAUAAUACUGACGUUCAUGGCUCGAAGCGUGGGUAGCAAACAGG
rnacentral:rRNA from 1 species